UGGGGAAUAUUGCGCAAUGGGGGAAACCCUGACGCAGCAACGCCGCGUGAAGGAUGAAGGUUUUCGGAUCGUAAACUUCUUUGAUGAGGGACGAACAAAAUGACGGUACCUCAAAAACAAGCCACGGCUAACUACGUGCCAGCAGCCGCGGUAAUACGUAGGUGGCGAGCGUUGUCCGGAAUUACUGGGUGUAAAGGGCGUGUAGGCGGGGAUGUAAGUCAGAUGUGAAAUUCCAUGGCUCAACUGUGGGGCUGCAUCUGAAACUAUGUCUCUUGAGUGCCGGAGAGGGAAGCGGAAUUCCUAGUGUAGCGGUGAAAUGCGUAGAGAUUAGGAGGAACACCAGUGGCGAAGGCGGCCUGCGGGGCUUUUACUGACGCUGAGGCACGAAAGCAUGGGUAGCAAACA
rnacentral:rRNA from 1 species